rnacentral:rRNA from 1 species
UACAGAGGGGGCAAGCGUUGUUCGGAAUUACUGGGCGUAAAGGGCGCGUAGGCGGCCUUCUAAGUCAAACGUGAAAUCCCUCAGCUUAACUGGGGAACUGCGUCUGAUACUGGAUGGCUUGGAUUCGGGAGAGGAAUGCGGAAUUCCAGGUGUAGCGGUGAAAUGCGUAGAUAUCUGGAGGAACACCGGUGGCGAAGGCGGCAUUCUGGACCGACAUUGACGCUGAGGAGCGAAAGCCAGGGGAGCAAACGGG